GAAGUGUAGAACAUAAAAUAACGCAGUUCCUGCCAGCUUUGUAAGCCAGACACCAGUGUACACGAGCAAGACCACAGCAGAAAGAGGCACGUCUCUGCUCAGGGAGAAGUAGAAGGUGAGCCACUUGGUUCUGCUGUCCUUAUCCAGGCAAGAACCAGACCCAGUGGAAGCAGCAGCAGCAGGACAACUCCCAGGAGAAUUUAGAGCUCAGAAAAAGUGCCAGACUGGCAGCCUUGGAAGCUCAGAGUCCCCGUUUAUCUGAAGGCUGCUGCAUUUUGAACCACUGCUGCGUGGGAACCUGGUGGGAAAGUUCACUGGUGAGAGGGCACCGUACGUGUCAGACAUUUCUGCAGCACAUCUUGGAUUAAGUGAGAGCUGCUUCCUCUUGCGAAACCUCUGCCCAGCAGUACCAGAGAGGCGUGAAGGGGAGGAGGGCAAGUAAAUUAUAAUCCACCCUGAAGUUCCACCCUGAGACUGAAUUUUGCUGCCUGAGAAGCGACAGUUCCAAAGUGAGAAGGCAUCCAGAGCUGCUCAUUUUUGUCAUGUCUUAGCAUAUAAUAAGCACAAACAUAAAACGUGUGCUUCUCAGCAGGACGGAUGAAUCGGAGCCAAGUGCCAUGUUGCAGUGGCUAGACUGCUUCCUGCCAGCUUGGCCGGCAGGAGCUCACCGAGCCCCGCUGCUCUGCCCAGAAGUCUGAGGUGCUGACACCCCAUGUCAUUACAGAACAGCCAUGGAAAAGGCGGAAUUUUGUUUUCCUUUCAGCAGUUUGCAUUUCAAAAGGGCAAAACUGCCUAAACCAUUGCAGUGGUUUCUUAUCCUGCGCUUGUACAAGAAUAAAGCCUGAGACAUCUGUAGAUGAGAAUGGAAAAAAAAUGCGCCACUCACUGUGCAACUUGUGAAGGAACAGACACCAAGGGACACAGGAAUAUCAUAUCGGGCUGGGAUACCUGGGCCUGCACAUACGGGGCUGGGGUAUUUGACACUGCUCCAACAUUGCUGAAAAGAAAGAGCCAGCUCUGUUUUAGAAAUUGUCCAUCUUUGGGGGGUUUGUUUCUUUUUUACACAGCAUACUGCAUAUGGAAUCCACGCUGCAGCUUACUCUAAUCCUCGCUGCGCUGAAGAGGUGCUGUGUUCUGCUGCGCUUCUCCAGUUUAUGGUGUGAAACACAAUAACACAGCUGGCAGGGUGUUGCCAUGCGAUGUGUCUCCGGCGCUUGUUCCAAGAGCAGGUUUCCGAUAUAAAUCUGUGGCAGUGAGUGCAAACGAAUUAAAAACAGACAAGAUGCUAAACACCACGGCUCAUCAGCUCAUCAAAUUGUUUUCUGAUAUUCUGCAAAGGUUUUUCUGGUGAAAUUUUGUUCAAUCUCCAACGCUGUUUCACUGCAGAAGAGAUUACUAGGUUUGGAGAUUUCUUAUUUGGGGGGAAGGAACACGAGUUUAUUUUGUCUCUUGUUUCCAGAGAGGUUAUAUUUGAAUUUAUAGAUACAAUUUGAUUUCUUAGCAGCUAUCCAGUAAGAUUGACUUUUAAAAGUUGGACAGACUUUGAAGGCUGGCUGGACAGAAGACUAGAACAUGGACUGUUAGGAGCAAUCCUUUAGGAAGAUGUGCUAAAAGAUUCCUCUACUACUAAUGAAUUUCCAGGAAAAUUGAAUAUACACUGCUAUUAAGAGAAAGCAAUGAUCACAAUACCAUCUUUAAUUACAAAUUAGACUUUCAUUUUGAUAUUUUGGGGUUGUGCCUGUGGAUGCUACAUUAAAAUAUGCAAUAUGCAAAAAUGAAGAUAAAAGUAGGAAUAGACGAUCGCCGUCUGGUCGGUUGGUAUGAUGACAAUGCUCAUUUCUGCUAAGAAUUUAAAUGACUGUUUUUCAGAAAUUGCUUCUGUCCCAUGGGAGAAAAAUACAUUUAGACAUUUCAGGAACAAGCAAGAGUACUGCCGUUUUGGGCAGCAGCAUAGUGGGCACAAAAGGCCUUAGAGGCAAGGUC